AUGGGAGGGCGGGCCGGGGCGAAGGCGGGGAAUUACGCGGUGCGAGGCCAGUGGGAGGGCGGGCCGGGUCCUCCGGGCUCAGGCGGGGUGCCAGGCGGCAUGAAGCCAGUGGGAGGGCGAGUUAGGGGAAGGGGCGGGGCCCCAAGCUAAUGGAAGGGUGAUACCGAGAGGGCGGGGCGCCAGCCGGCGUGAGAGCCAAUGGGAGGCCAAGCCGAGGACCGCGGAUGGUGGGCCGCCCCGCAAGGGUAGGGAGACCCGGAAGGCGGUGGGGCGGGGAGUGGAGCUGACAACCUGUCAAACCCACUUUGGGACGAACUAGGUCACGCGCUCCCCGGGCCGGGCACCCCUGCCCGCCAGGCCCGGCCGCGGCUCCUUCCUCUUCCUGCCCGGGGCGGUGGGGUGGGGCAGGCCUCGGGACACCUGCCUCCGCCGCCGGCCGCCGGCCUCGCGCGGCUUCCCGGGCGGCUCUGCCCCGGCCAUACACUCCCGGCCCGCUCGCCGCGGGAGGAGCCGUGGUUCCGCGGACCCGGGCGCGCUCCCUCCCUGGCCACUGGGAGACCCCCGCGGCCUCGCGGGGGAAACCUCGGGACUCCCCCGCGCCCCUGGCCGUCUCUGCGUCGCUCCUUCUCGCGCGCUACCGUGGACUCGUCCCCGCGGGCCCCGGUUGGCGGAAGCUGCGGGGGCCGGGGUCGCACUACUUGGCGCGGAAGGGCCGGCGGUGGGCGGAGGGAUCCCCGUCCGCGGGGUGAGCCGCAGGCAGGAGCCGGGAGGAGCCGCAGGGAAGAGCCGCAGGGAAGAGCCAGGAGGAGCCGCAGGGGGGGGCAGGGAGGAGCCUGGCGCCCGCGCCCACCCGCUGCGCCCACGCGUGCCACGGUCACCUGUUCCCCGCGGGAGCCCGGCCGCGCUCUGGGGGAGGCGCGCGCGCAGCUGGGGCUGCCUGGGUCUGGGAGCGCCGGGGCCGCCGGGGCCGCCGCUUUGUGCCCGUGGAGCCGCGGGGAAGGCGCCGCGCGCUCGGGUCUUCCCGGCGGGUCGUCCUGCACUUUCCCCCUCUCCAGUACGGACCGCGGCGUUCUGUUUCCAGGCAAAGAAAAACAAGUAGACUCAGAAGGCAGCGUGAAUCCAGGGCCCGGGAUGCAGGGUUUGCUGAAACGCCAGCCGGUGCGAUCGCGCCCCUGGAUUCCGCUUAGCCCGCGCGUCCAUUUCCCUGCACGGUGGACUCAGUAAAGCCGGAUCUGUCUAACGCCUGCAGCGUGGAUGUGGAGGCGGACUAAUCAAGCAGUGCUCUGUUAUUAUUUCUACCCAUCCCUUUUCUCCAUGUUAAUUUGCUUAGAACUUUAACAUUGAAUGGACAGCAAAUGUCAUGUUCUGUUUAAUUUUCACUCCUAGACCAUUAUGUUACUUUCUCUCCCGAACAAGGUGACGCAUUGUUUUGAGUAACAAUGACCAACUCAUCUACUUUUCUUCCAAAUUGUGUAAAUUAAAGGGUAAAAUGUGGGAAAACGCUAAAUCUGAAUGCUAAAUUUGAACAUUUCACACAACGAUAAUUUGAAAUGCUUCUUUGCAAUAUUGUGGCGUUUCAGAACAGAUAAAAAUAUUUCGUUUUGAGACAUUUGUUCAACAAAUACUUCUUGGACGUUUAUAUGCAAAGCAAUGCAUAUAACAUUUUCAUUACUUUGCAAGUGUAUUUAUCAGUAAAAGAAUUUUGUUUUAAAUUCUAGCCUUCAUUUAAAUGUAUUUUAGUUACCACAUUGGGAAGAAAAUAAAAUAUUACUAUGUACGGAAUGUA
rnacentral:lncRNA from 1 species